UCAGUGAAAUCUUGGAGCUGCUUUAACUAAAACAAGAACACAGCUUCCUGCCCGUCAGGCAAAACGAACCUGGUUACGCCACAAAUGUAACUGGGAUUGGAUUCUCCAACAAAAAAGCAGUUUGAGUCAAGAACCAAAGGGACUAAAGGAACGAGCAGGCAAAGGAAAUGAGGCUACAAUCCGAGUGGAAUACAGUCUCCUGCUGGAUGUUCUGGAAGCUGCGGAGCAACUUGCUGCUCUCAGGACCAGCGGUCAACUGCGAAGAUUCAGGGAAAGGGAAGACGCGGAGGAUGGGAGGC